GACGGAGAUCUUUAGGAGAACCUCCACACACUCCUGCUGCUGCUGCUGCUGCUGGAUCAAAGGAAGCCUGAAGCAGAACCGUUUGCUGAAUACCGUCAGUAAGAAAGAGCUGGAGAAAGCGCUUGGUAAACGGUAUACAAAUGCAAGAGACAGAGAAGGCAACCGUGCUUUUAGAGCCCAGCAGGACCAUGAUCGGAGGGCAGUACAGCCAGAAGUGUGUGCAGCCGAGGAAUCUACAUAGACCUGUCAGGAAAAAAUAUUUUAAUCAACCUUAUCUAGCGUGUGUUAUAAUUAAACUAAUUAAUACAACAAAAUUAACCUAAUAAUCAAUGUAGGACUUAUUAGAUACAAUAGAAGUAGUUUGAUAAAACCUAUUUAGCCUAGAUGUUAAUCAAACUUAUGUAACCUAUUUACACCAAGUAUAAGUAAAAUAGUAAUAAUAAGGCAGUUAUGUGUGAGAACAGAAUAGAGUCUGACUGAUGUUAUGAGUGUGUUGAAUAGACAAAAAACAAAAGACAGCAUUGAGUUUAAGCAUGUUUAUUGGGACAAAAAAGCUUGUGGGCUUCUGCUGCUGUGUUCUUCUUCUUCUUCUUCUUCUUCUUCUUCUUUCGGCUGCUCCCAUUAGGGGUCGCCACAGCGGAUCAUCCGUCUCCAUACCACCCUGUCCUCUACAUCUGCCUCUUUCACACCAACU